rnacentral:rRNA from 1 species
UAAUACGGGGGGAGCAAGCGUUGUUCGGAUUUACUGGGCGUAAAGGGCGCGUAGGCGGUCAGCACAAGUCAGUUGUGAAAUCUCCGGGCUUAACUCGGAAAGGUCAACUGAUACUGUGCGACUAGAGUGCGGAAGGGGCAACUGGAAUUCUCGGUGUAGCGGUGAAAUGCGUAGAUAUCGAGAGGAACACCUGCGGCGAAGGCGGGUUGCUGGGCUGACACUGACGCUGAGGCGCGAAAGCUAGGGGAGCGAACGG